rnacentral:rRNA from 1 species
UACGGGGGGAGCAAGCGUUGUUCGGAUUUACUGGGCGUAAAGGGCGCGUAGGCGGUCAGCACAAGUCAGUUGUGAAAUCUCCGGGCUUAACUCGGAAAGGUCAACUGAUACUGUGCGACUAGAGUGCAGAAGGGGCAACUGGAAUUCUCGGUGUAGCGGUGAAAUGCGUAGAUAUCGAAGAGGAACACCUGCGGCGAAGGCGGGUUGCUGGGCUGACACUGACGCUGAUGCGCGAAAGCCAGGGGAGCGAACGGG